UCUCCCCCCGCUCCUCCCUCCUCUCAUGGGCGGAGAUAAGGACAACGUGGAGAGCGCAGCCUCCUCCACUCCUUCCCCCAUGGGCCUACUGCUGGCGGCUACUGCCCCCUCUCCUCGUCGCUCGCCACGCCUGCCUUCACUGCCGCCGGCUGCAGGCGCAUCUAAGCAAGAGGAGUAUAGUAGCCGGGGGAGGUGGCGCCGACCAGUGGCCGAGGAAGGCGUCGACAGCCGGUAGAGACCGCGGCAGGCGGGGGGUGGGGGAGUCGCCGACGACCGAGGGAUACGGCGUCGGUGCGAGGAAGCACCACGGCGCCGCCGCCGUCAGAAAGACGGAUGACCCUUUCGAGUACGACUAUAAAGCCACGAGGACGGCAUGGGAGUUCCACGACCAGGUUAGAAAUGAUUAGAAAUGUUCUGCGGCAUGGGAGUUACAUGGGAUUUCCACGACUUAGGUGCAAGAAUGAUUAGAAAUGUUCUGCAGGAUGCAGUAACCAUUAUGGCUAGCUAAUUAUGGUUUUAGUACAGAUCAGUAAUCAACAUGCGACUAUCAGUGAGAUUCAGAUCGAUGCAUGCACGCAUUCAUUGCGGAUUAAUAAUCAACAUACAGCUAACCAAAUUAGAUAUUUUCGGGCCUGUAUUUUCAGUAUAGGUAAGAGGAUUUUCAGAUCGAUGCAUGCGUGCAGUAAAUGCAUACUCUUGUUAGAAGAAUAUUUUGUCAAGCACACACGCCCAUGGUUAUAUUUCAUUUGCAAAAAAACAAGAAAAAUGCAGGUCGGAAGUAUGGAGGGAUGGCGGGUCCCUGGCCUCCGGGCACGCGCGCGUAGUGGCGGUACGGUGCGGCCACCCAUGGACGGCCACCGGGGCAGGGCUGCCGGCUGCAGGGUGUGGCGGGGGCGGAGGCGGGAGGUGGCAAAGCUUGUGGCGGGGAAGCCGGUGGGGG
rnacentral:lncRNA from 1 species